GCGGCGAAAGGGUGAGUAACACGUAACCAACGUACCCCUCAGAUCGGGAUAACCACUGGAAACGGUGGAUAAUACUGAAUGGUCCUAGGAAGGACAUCCUUCCGAAGGUAAACGGCGGCUUCGGCUGCUGUUGAGGGAGCGGGUUGCGUCCUAUCAGCUUGUUGGUGAGGUAACGGCUCACCAAGGCUAUGACGGGUAGCGGGUCUGAGAGGAUGAUCCGCCACACUGGGACUGAGACACUGCCCAGACUCCUACGGGAGGCUGCAGUCGAGAAUCUUCCACAAUGGGCGAAAGCCUGAUGGAGCGACGCUGCGUGUAGGAUGAAGGCCUUAGGGUUGUAAACUACUGUCACGCUAUAGGAACCCGUGUAGGUUAAUAGCCUGCGCGCUGACCAAAGCGAGAGGAAGUGCCGGCUAACUCCGUGCCAGCAGCCGCGGUAAGACGGAGGGCGCAAGCGUUGUUCGGAAUCACUGGGCAUAAAGGGCGCGUAGGCGGCCAGUUCAGUCGGAUGUGAAAUCCCCCGGCCCAACCGGGGAACUGCACUCGAUACUGACUGGCUAGAGGAUGGUAGGAGCCAAUGGAACUCCAGGUGGAACGGUGAAAUGUGUAGAUACCUGGAGGAACACCGGUGGCGAAAGCGAUUGGCUGGGCCAUUUCUGACGCUGAGGCGCGAAAGCUAGGGGAGCGAACGGGAUUAGAUACCCCGGUAGUCCUAGCCGUAAACGAUGGGUACUGGG
rnacentral:rRNA from 1 species